GGUUUUACUACAUUCGCUCAGCGGUGAUGGGUGUAAGAGAUAAAACUGCACCAACAAGUCUUCGCUCGUCUGACGGCUCGUUAGAGGAAAACAGCCGAGGAAUGCGCUCCUUUGUGUAGAAAAGUUUGUGCCUCUGGAGAAACUUCCUCUUUACAUUUUCCUGUUUGGAUGAAUUGGACAGAAUGAACCGAGUUGGACUCUGAAGUCUUUUGUUAGUGACGCGUCCAGUUUGUGUAGAACCAGGAACGACCAAACCCGGUGUCCUGAUGAGAAUAACCGGUUUGUUUCAGGUGUCUGGAAAUGAUUUUAUGGCAUCGGGGGUGGGCCUGAAUACAUAAUGGUGAAAUAAUCAUCAGGAGACCGGGGAAACUCCCCCUGCCAAACCCAGCUACUUCAGGCAUUCAGCAUGCCGAGGACCUGUUGAACUGCUGCCGAGGGCCACAUCUGGCCCCCGGGCCGCGCCUUGGACACCCCUCCAUUACACGAUGAAGCCACGCAUGUAUGACGGCAUCUGGCAGCAACCUUUAUCAGAUUCAUUUUUUUUUUUAAAUAAACUCAAAG